GACUUAUAUAUCGGUGAGAUCGGUGACACGUCGGUUCCGAUGGACGCCGUUCCGCCUCGGUGCCGUUACGGAAAGUCAAGGAGAAAGCCUCGCCGUUCACGGCGGGGAUGAAUCCGACAACACGGCC
rnacentral:misc_RNA from 1 species